rnacentral:lncRNA from 1 species
AUGGUCCUUAUAGUUUUAUUCUUCAAAAUACAUCUUACAUAGGAAGGAUGGUCCCUUCUUAUAUAAGCCAGAGUCCGUUUUGAUUUACAACUAAUGUGGAACUAAUGAUACUCUCCCUUCUACAUUACAAUAAUUAAUAUCUCACAUCAUUGCCUAUGAAAAUGUAUGAUACACAUAUAUUAACUAAUGAGAUGUUGGCAACCUAAAUGUUUAUGCAAUAAAUCAUCAAUCACAUCUCAUGA